CCCAGACAGCCAGGAUGUUGGCUUAGAAGCAGCCAUCAUUUAAAGAAAGCGUAAUAGCUCACUGGUCGAGUCGGCCUGCGCGGAAGAUGUAACGGGGCUAAACCAUGCACCGAAGCUGCGGCAGCGACGCUGAUGCGUUGUUGGGUAGGGGAGCGUUCUGUAAGCCUGCGAAGGUGACCUGUGAGGGUUGCUGGAGGUAUCAGAAGUGCGAAUGCUGACAUAAGUAACGAUAAAGCGGGUGAAAAGCCCGCUCGCCGGAAGACCAAGGGUUCCUGUCCUACGUUAAUCGGGGCAGGGUGAGUCGACCCCUAAGGC
rnacentral:rRNA from 1 species